rnacentral:misc_RNA from 1 species
UCCGAGUUGUCCCCGGCAGUCCCCUUAGAGUCCCCACCAUUACGUGCUGGCAACUAAAGACAGGGGUUGCGCUCGUUGCGCCACUUAAGGCAACACCUCACGGCACGAGCUAACGACAGCCAUGCACCACCUGUGCAGGCUCCGAAGAGCGCCCGCUUUCACGGGUUCCACCCUGCAUGUCAAACCCAGGUAAGGUUCUUCGCGUCGCAUCGAAUUAAUCCACAUGCUCCGCCGCUUGUGCGGGCCCCCGUCAAUUUCUUUGAGUUUUAGCCUUGCGGCCGUACUCCCCAGGCGGGGUACUUAAUGCGUUAGCUACGGCACGGAUCCCAAGGAAGGAAACCCACACCUAGUACCCACCGUUUACGGCGUGGACUAC